CCUACGGGAGGCAGCAGUGGGGAAUCUUGCGCAAUGGGCGAAAGCCUGACGCAGCAACGCCGCGUGCGGGAUGAAGGCCCUAGGGUUGUAAACCGCUUUCAGUAGGAACGAAAAUGACGGUACCUGCAGAAGAAGGUGCGGCCAACUACGUGCCAGCAGCCGCGGUGACACGUAGGCACCAAGCGUUGUCCGGAUUUAUUGGGCGUAAAGAGCUCGUAGGCGGUUUAGUAAGUCGGGUGUGAAAACUCUGGGCUUAACCCAGAGCCGCCACUCGAUACUGCUGUGACUUGAGUUCGGUAGGGGAGCAGGGAAUUCCUAGUGUAGCGGUGAAAUGCGCAGAUAUUAGGAGGAACACCGGUGGCGAAGGCGCUGCUCUGGGCCGAUACUGACGCUGAGGAGCGAAAGCGUGGGUAGCAAACAGGAUUAGAUACCCUGGUAGUCCACGCCGUAAACGUUGGGCACUAGGUGUGGGUUCCAACCAACGGAAUCCGCGCCGUCGCUAACGCAUUAAGUGCCCCGCCUGGGGAGUACGGCGGCAACGCUAAAACUCAAAGGAAUUGACGG
rnacentral:rRNA from 1 species